rnacentral:rRNA from 1 species
UACGGAGGGUGCAAGCGUUAAUCGGAAUUACUGGGCGUAAAGCGCGCGCAGGCGGCUCUUUAAGUAUGGCGUGAAAUCUCCCUGCUCAACGGGGAGGGUGCGUUGUAGACUGAGGAGCUUGAGGUCGGUAGAGGGGGGUGGAAUUGCUGGUGUAGCGGUGAAAUGCGUAGAGAUCAGCAGGAACACCCGUGGCGAAGGCGGCCCCCUGGGCCGUACCUGACGCUGAGGCGCGAAGGCUAGGGGAGCGACCCGG